UACGUAGGGUGCUAGCGUUGUUCGGAAUCAUUGGGCGUAAAGCGCGUGUAGGUGGUUAGUUAAGUCGGGUGUGAAAUCCCUCGGCUCAACCGAGGAAGUGCAUCCGAAACUAAUUAGCUAGAGAGUGGUAGAGGGAGGUGGAAUUCCGUGUGUAGAGGUGAAAUUCGUAGAUAUACGGAGGAAUACCGGUGGCGAAGGCGGCCUCCUGGACCAUUUCUGACACUGAGACGCGAAAGCGUGGGGAGCAAACAGG
rnacentral:rRNA from 1 species